CGAAAGCCUGACGGAGCAAUACCGCGUGAGGGAUGAAUGCCUAUGGGUUGUAAACCUCUUUUUUCAGGGAGGAAUAAAUGACGUGUACCUGAAGAAUAAGCAUCGGCUAACUCCGUGCCAGCAGCCGCGGUAAGACGGAGGAUGCAAGUGUUAUUCGGAAUCACUGGGCGUAAAGCGUCUGUAGGUGGCUUAAUAAGUCAACUGUUAAAUCUUGAAGCUCAACUUCAAAAUCGCAGUCGAAACUAUUAGACUAGAGUAUAGUAGAGGUAAAGGGAAUUUCCAGUGGAGCGGUGAAAUGCGUAGAGAUUGGAAAGAACACCGAUGGCGAAGGCACUUUACUGGGCUAUUACUGACACUCGGAGACGAAAGCUAGGGUAGCAAAUG
rnacentral:rRNA from 1 species